rnacentral:rRNA from 1 species
CAGUAGCCGCGGUAAUACAGAGGGUGCAAGCGUUAAUCGGAAUUACUGGGCGUAAAGCGCGCGUAGGUGGUUCGCCAAGUUGGAUGUGAAAUCCCCGGGCUCAACCUGGGAACUGCAUCCAAAACUGGCGAGCUAGAGUAUGGUAGAGGGUGGUGGAACUUCCUGUGUAGCGGUGAAAUGCGUAGAUAUAGGAAGGAACAUCAGUGGCGAAGGCGACCACCUGGACUGAUACUGACACUGAGGUGCGAAAGCGUGGGGAGCAAACAGGAUUAGAGACCCCCGUAGUCCCUGUCUCUUAUAC